UUCGGUGACCAUAGCGAAGAGGCCCCACCCGUUCCCAUUCCGAACACGGAAGUUAAGCUCUUCAGCGCCGAUGGUACUGCACGGGUGACUGUGUGGGAGAGUAGGUCGUCGCCGAUU
rnacentral:rRNA from 1 species